rnacentral:lncRNA from 1 species
AAUUAGUUCUGUGCUUCUUGCUGUCUCUCUCUCCCUGUCUCUCUUAUUUCCUCUUUGCCCUCUCACUCUUUAAUUGACAGGUUAAAGUUAAAUAUAAAACAGGAGGAGAGAGAGAAGGAUAAGGAGAGGAGAAAACGUGUAUGGUACAGAGAGUUUAACGCAAUAUCUCGGCUGAUGCCGUCUGCACAAGUGGCAGAUCUCUGGAGCAGGAAAACAAAUGACUUUCAUCUUAGCAAUUCCAGGAAAAUGGAGCAGUGAUGACAUCUUGCACUACACAGAUUUAUGUCCAAUCAGAUGCUCUCUUGAAGGAGAAUGUCCUGCCCCCUUAUGCCGCAUACAACUGACUAGUAAGUAGUAAAUCAUGGCAGUUACGUGGCUAUUUAAAAAAAUUUAAAAAACAGAUUAUCUA